GGUGAACCAGGGGAGAGAAUAAUGGAAUCCUUCGGUGCUUUACUAGUGGUCCUGUGGCUUCAGUUCAUCUGGGUGAGCAGCCAGCAGAAGGAGGUGGAGCAGAGUCCUGAGACCCUCAGUGUUCCCGAGGGAGCCAUCGCCUCUUUCAACUGCACUUACAAGGACAGUGCUUCUAGAAACUUCCUUUGGUACCGGCAGUAUCCCUGGAAAGGUCCCGAGGUGCUGAUAUUCAUGUACUCCAGUGGUGACAAAGAAGAAGGGAGAUUUAAAAUGCAACUCAACACAGCCAGCCAGCAUGUUUCCUUGCACAUCCGAGGCUCGCAGCACAGUGACUCUGCCGUCUACCUCUGUGCCGUAAGCACACAGUGCUCCCCAGGCACCUGCAGCCUGCACCCAAACCACAGGGGCCCAGGCAGGCCUGAGGCAGAGCAGACACCACAGGGCAGGGGAUUUCUGUACCUGCUCCAGAUGCAGUGGGGAUUAAGAGCAAGAGUAGAGACUGGGAGAGUAUUUUAA